rnacentral:lncRNA from 1 species
GGUUUGUGAACCAAACUUGUAUUCUCAGGAGAAACCCAACUUGGUCGUGAGGUAUCAACCUUUUUUUUAAGUGCUGCUGCAUUCAGUUUGGUAAAAUGCUACUGAAGAUUUUUGUUUCUAUGUUGAUGAAGGAUAUUGGCCUAGAGUUUUAUUUUCUUAUAAUAUCUUUGUCUGCAUAUGAUACGAGGUAAUGCCGACCACACAAAAGGACUUGAGGUUGUCUGGACACGCGGCUGGCAUACCUGCGGGUACCUGGAGGACACAGGCAGGUGCUCCCACAAUAAACACCCUCUUGCACCUCUGACCCCUCGAGGCCCUCCCCUCCCUGCCUCACCCCUGGGGAGGUGUGUGCUGUCUCCAGGCUGGGCUGGACCCCUGGCCCUGCGGCUCCUUAAGGCCCAGCAAAAAGACCCGAUGCAAAAACAAAACCACAGCGGAGACCCAAGGGUCUGGUGUUGCAUAAAGAGCCAUGUUUAUUUCUUAACCGGACAGAGCCUCAAGUGCACACACGCGGUACAGGAGCCUAGAGCCUAACGCUUGGGUUUAGGACAUCAGGGAACUAGUCACAGCGGGAUGGCAGUUACGGUGCAGGGGCUGGGUGUGCCACACAACCACAUAUGUACAAGCCACGGGGAAACUCAGGGGACGGCUGGCUGCAGGGAGCACGGGCCUGGGAAGAGGCCCCAGCCUCCUGUCUCUCCCGGGAGCACGACCCUCCCUCAAACAAAACGAGGCUGCGGCCUGUGCGGCAUCAAGCGCUGAAACAAAAAUGGUCCAAGACAUGCCUCUGGAUCCUCCUUUCCCUCCCUACUUGCGGGACACAGCCCCUGGCUCUCCUGACGGCUCCCUACGACCCGAGGCCCCUCGGGGACUCCAGAGCAGCCUCCCACAUCCGAGAUGCGGAAGCCGAGUCCCACACCACCUCCCCCUGGCUGAGACGGCACCGGGCAGAAGCAGCCUUCCCGACCCCUCGACGGGAGUCUCUUCCCAGCAACUCCGUGUUUCUGGACUCAGAGCCAGGAGCUGGCGCUGAAGCAGGCCUGAGGGAGGAAGUGAUGACGGGUAGGGGACAUCAGGUGGCCCACACCUGGCUCCCGCUCGCUGCCCAGGCAGCAUGA